rnacentral:rRNA from 1 species
AGAUUAAGUUAUUAAGGGCGCACGGUGGAUGCCUUGGCACUAGAAGCCGAUGAAGGACGUUACUAACGACGAUAUGCUUUGGGGAGCUGUAAGUAAGCUUUGAUCCAGAGAUUUCCGAAUGGGGAAACCCAGCAUGAGUUAUGUCAUGUUAUCGAUAUGUGAAUACAUAGCAUAUCAGAAGGCACACCC